rnacentral:rRNA from 1 species
GACGAACGCUGGCGGCGUGCUUAACACAUGCAAGUCGAACGGAAAGGCCCUGCUUUUGUGGGGUGCUCGAGUGGCGAACGGGUGAGUAACACUUGAGUAACCUGCCCUUGACUUUGGGAUAACUUCAGGAAACUGGGGCUAAUACCGGAUAGGAGCUCCUGCUGCAUGGUGGGGGUUGGAAAGUUUCGGCGGUUGGGGAUGGACUCGCGGUUUAUCAGCUUGUUGGUGGGGUAGUGGAUUACCAAGGUUUUGAAGGGUAGCCGGCCUGAGAGGGUGACCGGCCACACUGGGACUGUGAUACGGCCCAGACUCCUACGGGCGGGAGCAGUGGGGAAUAUUGCACAAUGGGCGGAAGCCUGAUGCAGGAACGCCGCGUGCGGGAUAAAGGCCUUCGGGUUGUAAACCGCUUUCGCCUGUGACGAAGCGUGAGUGACGGUAAUGGGUAAAGAAGCACCGGCUAACUACGUG